rnacentral:rRNA from 1 species
GUCCUUGAUAUGAAAGAUCCGUCGGUCCGGGAUGGGCAUGCGGCGCAUUAGCUAGUUGGCGGGGCAACGGCCCACCAAGGCGACGAUGCGUAGGGGUUCUGAGAGGAAGGUCCCCCACACUGGUACUGAGACACGGACCAGACUCCUACGGGAGGCAGCAGUGAGGAAUAUUGGUCAAUGGACGGUAGUCUGAACCAGCCAAGUCGCGUGCGGGAAGAAGGCCCUCCGGGUCGUAAACCGCUUUAGCCGGGGAGUAACGUGGGGGACGCGUCCCUCAGUGAGAGUACCCGGAGAAUAAGCAUCGGCUAACUCCGUGCCAGCAGCCGCGGUAAUACGGAGGAUGCGAGCGUUAUCCGGAUUUAUUGGGUUUAAAGGGUGCGCAGGCGGCGAGUCAAGUCAGCGGUCAAACUGCGGCGCUCAACGCCGUACCGCCGUUGAAACUGGCGCGCUCGAGUUUGUGCGAGGAUGGCGGAAUGCGCAGUGUAGCGGUGAAAUGCAUAGAUAUUGCGCAGAACUCCGAUUGCGAAGGCAGCUGUCCAGCACACUACUGACGCUCAUGCACGAAAGCGUGGGUAUCGAA